rnacentral:rRNA from 1 species
AUUGAACGCUGGCGGCAGGCCUAACACAUGCAAGUCGAGCGGAUGAAGGGAGCUUGCUCCUGGAUUCAGCGGCGGACGGGUGAGUAAUGCCUAGGAAUCUGCCUGGUAGUGGGGGAUGACGUCCGGAAACGGGCGCUAAUACCGCAUACGUCCUGAGGGAGAAAGUGGGGGAUCUUCGAACCUCACGCUAUCAGAUGAGCCUAGGUCGGAUUAGCUAGUUGGUGGGGUAAAGGCCUACCAAGGCGACGAUCCGUAACUGGUCUGAGAGGAUGAUCAGUCACACUGGAACUGAGACACGGUCCAGACUCCUACGGGAGGCAGCAGUGGGGAAUAUUGGACAAUGGGCGAAAGCCUGAUCCAGCCAUGCCGCGUGUGUGAAGAAGGUCUUCGGAUUGUAAAGCACUUUAAGUUGGGAGGAAGGGCAGUAAGUUAAUACCUUGCUGUUUUGACGUUACCAACAGAAUAAGCACCGGCUAACUUCGUG